rnacentral:rRNA from 1 species
UACAGAGGUCUCAAGCGUUGUUCGGAUUCAUUGGGCGUAAAGGGUGCGUAGGUGGCGUCGUAAGUGGGGUGUGAAAUCCCGGGGCUUAACCCCGGGACUGCAUUCCAUACUGCGGUGCUUGAGGACUGGAGAGGAGACUGGAAUUUACGGUGUAGCAGUGAAACGCGUAGAGAUCUGCAAGAAUACCCGUGGCGAAGGCGGCCAGCUGGGCCGGUUCUGACGCUGAGGCGCGAAAGCGUGGGGAGCAAACAGG